GACGAACGCUGGCGGCGUGCCUAAUACAUGCAAGUCGAACGCUUCUUUCCUCCCGAGUGCUUGCACUCAAUUGGAAAGAGGAGUGGCGGACGGGUGAGUAACACGUGGGUAACCUACCCAUCAGAGGGGGAUAACACUUGGAAACAGGUGCUAAUACCGCAUAACAGUUUAUGCCGCAUGGCAUAAGAGUGAAAGGCGCUUUCGGGUGUCGCUGAUGGAUGGACCCGCGGUGCAUUAGCUAGUUGGUGAGGUAACGGCUCACCAAGGCCACGAUGCAUAGCCGACCUGAGAGGGUGAUCGGCCACACUGGGACUGAGACACGGCCCAGACUCCUACGGGAGGCAGCAGUAGGGAAUCUUCGGCAAUGGACGAAAGUCUGACCGAGCAACGCCGCGUGAGCGAAGAAGGUUUUCGGAUCGUAAAACUCUGUUGUUAGAGAAGAACAAGGACGUUAGUAACUGAACGUCCCCUGACGGUAUCUAACCAGAAAGCCACGGCUAACUACGUG
rnacentral:rRNA from 1 species